rnacentral:misc_RNA from 1 species
GACGGAGGGCGCAAGCGUUGUUCGGAAUUACUGGGCGUAAAGCGCGCGCAGGCGGACGUGCAAGUCGGAAGUGAAAUCCCGGGGCUCAACUCCGGGGCUGCUCCCGAUACUGCUCGUCUAGAGACCGGUAGGGGUUGGCGGAAUUCCCGGUGUAGCGGUGGAAUGCGUAGAUAUCGGGAAGAACACCCGUGGCGAAGGCGGCCAACUGGGCCGGGUCUGACGCUGAGGCGCGAAAGCGUGGGGAGCAAACAGG